CUUCUCCAUGGCCCUUGUCCUCCCAGAUGCUUCCGCCUCUUCGCUGUCCUGCUUGUCAAAUGGUUUGGGUAUGUCAUAGCACUGUCAAUGCCUGGAGGAAGGUCAAAGUCUGACUCUGACCACCAAGCUGAUCAGCACAGAAGGUGUUGAACUGGUUCAAAGAAUACUAGUUGAACCCAAUUUCAAACUGCAGCUACAUCUAUCAAAUAUUGCUGUUUCCUCCACCUUCAGUCUUCUCAAGGCAGCGUUGCUCUGACACAAACACAAAAACCACUUCUGUGAUACUGGGCUUUACUCUGUGUGACUCGAGUGAGCUGAGGUGUGCUUGAAAGAACAUGGACUUUGAAGUCAGGUGCAUUGUGUCUGUGGUGUGUUUAACAAGUAUGCCCCUCUAAGACGCAGCAUUCUUAUUUGUAAAAGAAGGAUAAUAGUGCCCACUUUUGAGGAUUAUUGACAUGAGUAGACUGAGUAGCAUAUAUAAAGUGCCUUUACGUAUAGAGUAUGUCUAUUAAAUGAACGCUCAAUGUGAGGGCUUACCCCUUACAGUGCAAUUUGGGGAAUAGACAACAAAUAAUUACAUUGUACAUAACUUAAAAAUAUAGAUGAAUACUGAAUUUUGAAUUUAAACCGAGGAUCAAUUCAGUGGAUAAUAUUAAGUGACUCAGUGACUCUACUACCUUAAGAGAAUUGAUGUACACUUUAGCUCUCUGCUUCACCACAAGGAGGGUAUCUGGAUAUGGAACUUGCAGGGGAAGUUCACAAUGAAGUGUUUCUUAUUGGUGCACAUCCACUAGGCUUGCCUUAUUUUAUCUGGGAAGAAUAGGUAACCCGUGGAACCAUGUGAAUUGCUAGAGAAGAGACAAGAAAUGUAUUAUUAUUGUCUUAGUCCAACUUGCCUUCUUAACUACUCCCCCUCCAACAUCACCAAGAGUGUGCCUAGCAUAGUGCCAAAACUAUCAUUCCAUUGUGGUGUGGUAAAUAGGUAUCUUUUUCUGUGUGUUUAGAGGCCAUCCCUAGAUGAGGGUCUUCAUGGUCAUGCAGGAAAGUUGGGACCCUCUUCUCUGAGAUUAGAUGAGAUACUGCCAGACUUCCUGUCAGCUUGCAGCAAAGUUGCAUGUUUGAGGUGAAUCACUUCUGCUAUGACUAUUAUCUCUGUAUUUUUUCAUUUCCAAAGAUAAAGUUCUUCCCUUGUGCCUUGAGUAACUCCCCUCUUACUGCUGAACUCUUCUUCACCCCCACCAUAAUACAUUAAGAUGUAUCCUUCCUCCUCCACUCUUCCUAUAUUCCAUCAUGAACAAACUUCAGUAUAUCCACAACCUUUGUGCAGAUGGCUUUAUCUAAAUAUCCCCUAUUGAAACAUAAUAAAAAUACACAUUUCUGUC